rnacentral:rRNA from 1 species
CCUACGGGAGGCAGCAGUGAGGAAUAUUGGUCAAUGGACGAGAGUCUGAACCAGCCAAGUAGCGUGAAGGAUGACUGCCCUAUGGGUUGUAAACUUCUUUUCUAUGGGAAUAAAAUGUUCCACGUGUGGGCUUUUGUAUGUACCAUAUGAAUAAGGAUCGGCUAAAUCCGUGCCAGCAGCCGCGGUAAUACGGAGGAUCCGAGCGUUAUCCGGAUUUAUUGGGUUUAAAGGGAGCGUAGGUGGAUUUGUAAGUCAGGUGUGAAAGUUUGCGGCGCAACCGUAAAAUUGCAGUUGAAACUGGCAGUCGUGAGUACAGUAGAGGUAGGCGGAAUUCGUGGUGUAGCGGUGAAA